rnacentral:rRNA from 1 species
GAUGAACGCUGGCGGCGUGCCUAAUACAUGCAAGUAGAACGCUGAAGCUUGGUGCUUGCACCGAGCGGAUGAGUUGCGAACGGGUGAGUAACGCGUAGGUAACCUGCCUCUUAGCGGGGGAUAACUAUUGGAAACGAUAGCUAAUACCGCAUAAAAGACGAUAUCGCAUGAUAUUGAUUUGAAAGAUGCAAUUGCAUCACUAAGAGAUGGACCUGCGUUGUAUUAGCUAGUUGGUGAGGUAACGGCUCACCAAGGCGACGAUACAUAGCCGACCUGAGAGGGUGAUCGGCCACACUGGGACUGAGACACGGCCCAGACUCCUACGGGAGGCAGCAGUAGGGAAUCUUCGGCAAUGGGGGCAACCCUGACCGAGCAACGCCGCGUGAGUGAAGAAGGUUUUCGGAUCGUAAAGCUCUGUUGUAAGAGAAGAACGAGUGUGAGAGUGGAAAGUUCACACUGUGACGGUAACUUACCAGAAAGGACGGCUAAUACGUC